CAAUGGUAGAAGACGUGUGUUUAUUUAUGCAGAGAAGGAGGAAGAACACAUUAGAGUUGCGAUUUUUAUCUCAAAAAAUCCAAGAGUACAGAGAAGGUGGAAGAACACAUUAAAGCUGCGAUUUUUAUCUCAAAAAAUCCAAGAGUACAGAGAAGGUGGAAGAACACAUUAAAGCUGCCAUUUUUAUCUCAAAAACUCCAUGCCUACAUGUUCGUAAACACAAAAGCUUAAAUUUUUUUGGCUGUUCUGCCUUUAUUUUCUUUUCUGACUUCUCGCGAUACAAAAGUUUAAAUUUUUUUGUGUUACUGAACCUUCA